rnacentral:lncRNA from 1 species
UUCUAACAUGUGGGAUAUACAGUAUCAUACAUUGCUCAAUCCUUAAUUUCAAUUGGCAUACAAUUCUAACUUAUUGUUCACCCCAAAUAUUGAUACUGUCUAACUCCCUUUUUCAGCUGUAAUUUAUGCAAUAAUUUAGCACUACUCAUCAAACUUUUAAAUGACCACAAUGAUGAGUUUUAAUACUUAAUUAGCAUCUAAAAUUUCCUUCUGAUUUCUCAAGUGAUCAAUCUACCACUUAGUCCUCCUAUGGCAGUGUGGUUUGCCUCUGUCAAGCAAACAGUUUUGGGAAAGGUACCUUGCUUUUUGUUAGAAUUUCGAGGGCUACUCACAGGAAGAUUAGGCUAAAAAUCUAGACAACCAGUUCAAUUAAAUUCAGUAUUUGAGCCUGAAGAGGAAAAUUGUGUGGCCAUUACUUACACACUGAAUUUUGCACUAUUACAGCUUUCUUACAUAGAGUUUUUUUCUUGUGGGACAAGGGAAUAUUUACUAAUCAUUUAAAAAUAACUCAGAAUCAAAGAAUUUCAAAGAAAGCCUACAUUUUUUCACUUUUAUUCUGAGUGAAGUUGUUUUUAAUCCCUGCAA